rnacentral:lncRNA from 1 species
GACUGUAGUAUUAUAGUCAUAACGUGAUGAAUCUCCAAAAUGAGGGAAAGAUCCCACUAAAUUUGCACCAGCAACAAGUCUCUGAUAAUUUUAGCGCGUUGUGUGAUAGCAAAGAUUGGCAGUUUGGAUUAGGAACGUAAUGUAAUAUUCUAAAUGACCAAAACACAUCCAACAAGUCAAUUCAAACUUCCUUGCAGAUUCAAGCUCAAAGUAGUGAAAGCCUUUUGUCAUGCUGGAUACCAAGGACACAUCUCUUGUCCUCAUGAGGCCUAAUAAGUUCUGCUUAUUAGCAUAGUACCACAUCGCUUGGGUACCUUUGGGAUGCAAUGUGUAUAAAAGCAUGGGCAACCUUCCUGUAAUCCAGUUUUAAAGGGAGAGUUCUACUUCUACCUAUGAGAUUAUCGUGGUAUAGAAGUCAGUUUACUGAAGGGAUGCGUUGGGUUCCGGUCUCCUACACUUUGCAGAGAGGAUAACCUGUGUGUCUCCAGCCCUGGUUCUAAGGGGUAAUAUUACCUGAGAAACUGAGGGAAUCUCAUGAAUUGAUGGCUAGAAUUCUAAAGACCAUGAAAGGUCAGUAUCUAUGUAGAUUAAACCAUGUGUCUGCAUCAAUGGAAACAUUAGAUACACCACGUAGAGAUCAGAACUUUACCUUACCCUGGCACAAUUUGGUCCAUAAGAAUUUUUAGGCAUAUGAGAACAUAAUUAAGACAUUUUUGUUUACUUUGACGUGGAUGAGCAUGAAGCAAUUUAUUGCAACACAAUACGAAUCAUCGAGCAGAUAAAUAUGGAAGUAACUAGAGAUAAGUAGGAUCUUACAUUAAAUUCAGUGUUAG